CUUGUUUCACGUGAAUGAGGGAUUAGAAUCCCUAGCCUGGAAGAAUGGGGAUAAAUUCCCAAAUCUCCUCUUCUUCUCCACCUUCACUGGCAGCGGCGGCGAUAAGGAGCAUCGUUCGUGGCUAGAACGAAGCGGGUCUGAUUCGCGAUGGUGGUAAAUGAGGGCACGACGGUGACUGACUUUCGUCCUCCAGCGGCGAUGAACAACAAUCACGGCCAAAGGUGGUUCACGGUGAGAUGCGGUGGUUCAAGGUGACUCUCGGUGGUGACAGAGGCUCGUGAGGUUGGGUUGAAGAGAUGGUACCGAGGAGGGUGUUGUGUUGGGAGAAGAAGAGCAUUCGUGAUUCGGAACCGGCAGAGGCAACAAUUCGGUGAGGAAUUUUAUCCCUCUUCUAUUUAACUUUAUAUUAUGGAGUUUGAAUGAUGAAAGACUGGUUUGAGAGAACAAGGAUCAUACAAAACGAAUUAUGCUACCUUAAGGUUUUCGCAUUGCAUCAUCAAUUUCAUUCUUAAUUAAUUUUUUUUACUUAAGUAGAUACAUUAUGCUGAGACCAGUGGGUAUGCUUGAUUAAAGAUAGAAGGUAUUGGCACCCCGUCCGCCCGUAUUAAAACGGUACACUCGCUAAUAACAUGGACUUUUAUACCCUUAACAAAUAUUUAUUUAGAAAUUAAUUAUCAUAACAAAAUAUUUUUAUUUUUUCUGACUUUCGUCCUCCAGCGGCGAUGAACAACAAUCACGGCCAAAG
rnacentral:lncRNA from 1 species